rnacentral:misc_RNA from 1 species
GGACAAAAUUUCUUCCCUUAAGUCAGACACAGUAUGUCUUCGCCUUAGUAAGCCCAGUUCACUCGCUGCAUUUGAAGCAGUUCUUUCAUCAUUGGUCAAGCUAUCAUUUCGCAAAAACCUUCCCCGGAGUAAUGACUGAAUCCUAUUGCGAUAGGCAAAGUCUGAUACAGGCUUACACUCCAACAAUCCCUGAAGUUCCUUUUCCCUUUCCCUUUGAGAUCUCAUCAGUAAAUCAACA